AGAAGUGAUGUUGCAGUGGUAAAGAAUAACCCAGAAAACAAUGCAAAGCUGUGGAAAGUGAAGCACUUGGUGAAAAUAACUCCCCUAAGAAUUGCAGACAACUUACCAGAAGACGCUGAUCCAGCAUGUUGCUUCUUGAAGGAAACUGGAGACUUCAUAUACUCCCCCCACAUCAAGGUGGAUGAAAAAGUGCUUCAGGAGGAUGAAACAAUAACAGCUACAAAAUGGGAUCAGAAGUUUGUUGACAAGGAGACACGCAAGAACUGGCAACAUCCCUGGCAAUUAAAGCUUUGUUAGCUUCUUGAACUUUACUGAGUAUGGAGUAGAUUGUCUGGGAAGUAUUCCAUGUUACAAAAGUAAAGUUAGUUUCAGAUAUAAACAACUCGAAAACCAUUUGUUUGAUAUUUCAAUAAAAUGAUGUAAGAGGAAUGAUGUUUCAGCAUUUUAUAUUCUGAUUUAGAAUUUGUUAUUAGAAUUAUUUACCUUGAAUUGUUAGAUUGUCUAUCCCUCUUCUGUUUAGGUAACAAUAUUAUUUGGCUACAGUCAGUUUAGGCAGUGUCUAGAAUAGGGUGUACUGAUGACCACCCCCCCCAAAAAAAAAAAAAAAAAAAAAAAAAAGUUAUAGCUUAUGGGUUAAUUUAUCUCCAGUGCUAAUGGGGCAAUUUGAGGUUAUUAGGUUGUAUUUGUUAUCUAACUGAAAUAUGCACUCUAUGAAAAAAAGAA